rnacentral:lncRNA from 1 species
GGAGGAAGAAUAGUUCUGAGUUACUAAGAGUUACAAUAGACACCCCUUGUUAAAGAAAAGAGAACCAACGGCAUCACAUAUUACUCCCAAUAGUUCACUCGGUGCUUUGGAUGAUGGUUUAGAUUCGGAAGGUUCUAAGGCUGAGUCUCUUAUUAUAGUGACAAUGGAUGUCUGAAGUGCUGUGUGCAAGAACAUUGACUAGGGAUGCAGCGGUGGCACAACGGAGUAGCAACCUGACUGACCUGACAACUAACUGUGUUAGAUGACCCAAUGGAGCAUGACUACUCUUACUGAUGUCUUCCAGUCAGAAACAGGAUGACGUCUCUGUGUCCCCAAUCUCUCAUGUCAAAGGGAAGAUGUGCAUAUCCUGCGAGCACUUUGGAUUUAUAUGUGCAUGCAUUGGCUUUUCUGCUCCCUGUUUAUCUAUCAAAACUUAUUAUCUAGGCAUCUAGGUGUGCUGGGCACACUACUGAGUUCCAGGAAUACUCUAUCUCCAAAACAAACGAACGACUCAUAAACCC